GUUCCUCUGAUUAGUAGGCUUGGUUUGGCAAGUCCUUCCUCUGAUUACCUCUUCGAAUCAGCAUCGUUGUUGCCGUUCCUCAGCUUUAAUCUCACAUGAUUAGCGCUUGUGUACCCUCUUCUACAUCACCAAGGUCUUGGGGUUGAAUACUCUGCUCCACCAUCAAAAGAAGACCAAGGAAAUAACCCUGGAGAUAGGAAAGUAGUGGACAUGGCAGAUCAAUACUGAUAUCAUGAGGAUGUUAGAUACAGAAGGCAUGCCUAGAGCCUCCAGUUUCUCAAACAUCGACCUUACUAUGAUUCCUAAGAGUAUAUCAAACAAAAUAAUUAUGAUUCAUAAUUUCAAGGUAAACAGAAAUUGUUCUAUGCUGAAUCUCUAAACAUCCAGGUGAAUAAACCAAAUAGACAAUCCGAGUAACAUGCUUCAACUGCCCAAGUUCAAACGUCGAGGGCGGCGAUCCACGUAGAUCAUGCCGGAUCUGGGAUAGAUCUUGCUGAUCUUGGGAUGAAAUCGUCGCGGCAAAGGGAGUCAAGGAUACGGGAGCGGCACGCCGGAACUGGAGCAGAUCCCGCCGGAUCCCGGCAAGGGUGCAAGCUUGGGAAGCCAAUUGAAAUAGUUACCUACCUAAACUAUUUCGAGCAUUGGAUUCAGAGGUAGGCUGAGAAGAGCAGCAAGAGAAAAGAAGAUUCGGAAGAUCAAUCGCAUCUAAUAAUCGGUUCACCAAAA
rnacentral:lncRNA from 1 species